GAUGAACGCUGGCGGCGUGCCUAAAACAUGCAAGUCGUGCGGCAGCAUGCCCUUCGGGGUGAUGGCGAGCGGCGGACGGCUGAGUAACACGUGGGAAUCUGCCCCGAAGUGAGGGAUAACUGCUCGAAAGAGUAGCUAAUACCGCAUAUGGUCUACGGAUUAAAGCUUCGGCGCUUCGGGAGGAGCCCGCGUAAGAUUAGAUAGUUGGUGAGGUAAUGGCUCACCAAGUCGACGAUCUUUAACUGGUUUGAGAGGAUGAUCAGUCAGACUGGAACUGAGACACGGUCCAGACUCCUACGGGAGGCAGCAGUUAGGAAUAUUCCACAAUGGGGGCAACCCUGAUGGAGCAACGCCGCGUGGAGGAUGAAGGCCUUCGGGUUGUAAACUUCUUUUCUAUGCGAAGAAUAUGACGGUAACAUAGGAAUAAGGGUCUGCUAACUACGUGCCAGCCGCCGCGGUAAAAC
rnacentral:rRNA from 1 species